CGAACGGGUGAGUAAUGCGUGACCAACCUGCCCCAUGCUCCAGAAUAGCUCUUGGAAACGGGUGGUAAUGCUGGAUGCUCCAACUUGACGCAUGUCUUGUUUGGAAAGUGUUUAGUGGCAUGGGAUGGGGUCGCGUCCUAUCAGCUUGUAGGCGGGGUAAUGGCCCACCUAGGCUUCGACGGGUAGCCGGCCUGAGAGGGCGGACGGCCACAUUGGGACUGAGAUACGGCCCAGACUCCUACGGGAGGCAGCAGCC
rnacentral:rRNA from 1 species